ACUGCAGGAGUGACAAGUAAGCCAUCACAGUGGGGUCAGGAAAAGUGGCUGUAGACCUGGCUUAGCUGCAGCUUGUCUUUGACGUUCCACCCAUAUUUAUGAGUUCUUCUCAUUAGAUGAUCCAUUGGUACAUGUUUUUCCUUAAGUGAGGACCCAUCACUUGCAGAAUCUAAAAGCUUGAAAAGCCAUCAAAAAGUAAUGAGCAGGAAUGAGAAACAUUCCCCUCACCCAGUGCUCACCAGUUCAGGUGCAGCAGCUGAUCCCAAAAGGCACUCCUCUCUGAUGGGGACUGUGCCAACGUGAGCAUGCCAGACAGCGGAUUUAAAACACCUUUCCAUGCAGAUUUUGCACAGCAAAAGCCAGCGGCAUAAAUAUUAAUGGAAAGCAAAUACAAAAGGUAUUUUUGUAAAAUGAAUACAUUUUAAAAGGGUUGUAAAAUAUUCAUGGGAAGUGUUUCUAGCAGGAACCUAGAAUAGGGGCCCAGGUCUGGAAGUUACAACACAUUUCUCCAGCGUUAAGCACCCAGUUGCAGUGAGAGCUCAGAUCCCCCAGGCCAAGGCAGGCCUCAGGGACUUCAAGCGACUGGAGUAGCGCCAAUACAGGACUAAUGCCGAGGACCUGGGCCAUCAGGACUGAGCUGAGACAUGCAAGUGGGCUUUCCACUUAUAGUGAAGUAGCUAUUUCAAAGUCUGUGUAGCUCACUUGUUGACAUGAGGACCCUCUGCUUUGCAGGAUCGCUCAGCACCAGCACUGGAAGCAGUCCGGUCCCACUGCCCUCUGAAACAGCAUUGCAACCACAGCUAAAUGGUAGCUCAGCUCCUCUCAGCUUUAUCUUUUAGCAGGAUUAAAUUUUACUGAGCCUUGUUUAAGAUGAACAAUGGCUUUAUCUCCAGAGCUGGUUAUUGAGCGGAAGGUGCUCAAUCCAAAGGUGAGGUAUUGGUUAUCAAUUUAUUGCCUCCUUACCCUCUGAUUUCCUUGAAAAAAAAGAUGAAAUUGUGGGUGUGUGUUUCUAUGCAUAAUACAAACGAAUACUUCCAGAUGUAUCAAUGCCAUUUUCAAAUGAUGCUUUCAAGUCAUGGCAACAGCAGAGGUCACAGAGAUCUUCUCCUUUCUCAGGCUGAUAUGUGAGUACCUCAGCUAAAUGUGCAUGCAAUGCAUGGGCAACAGAUGUGGAAGGCUGUGAAGAAAAAUGAAACAAACAAGCAAAGAAAAAAGCACAAUCCCAAACUAACGUGCAGGGCACAGCUGAUAAGCAAGAGACAUAGGACUGGGAGAUGUAAAUGGAAAUGAAAGCAAAGGCCCAUGCCUGCAGUGCAGCCUGGCUGCUGGAGCUCUGCAGGGAGGGAAGGGACAGGUGCCCCAGCCUCCCCCUUGCUCUCAGCUUGCCUUCCAGGGGGCAGCCCCAGGCACGAGCCCAAUCCCACCACUACACGCUGGCUGUGUGGCUUAUGUGCAGAUGAGAACCUGAGUGCACAGUCAGACAUACCUGUACCUGCAGUGCCACCUGAGAUCCUAACUCCAAGUCCUCUCUCUUAAUUAACGAUAUCACAAAGCAUCCUGGUGAUGCAUCCUGCUGAAAGACACAGGCCUGGAACAGUCUUCUUGUUCAUUAAAUUAUUCAUGUGCCAGAUGGCCACCCAAACACCUGAGCUGGUACCACGGAAAGUCUACAGCAAACUUCAGUCAUCCCCAGGCAAAAGCCUCCACUUGGAGUCCUUCCGGGGUGGCUGGGAAAGGGGCACCCAGAGACACACUUGUCUCUGAAGUGCUCUUGUUAGCACCCACUCAUCUACUGCCAUAUGGCGCCUUAUGUCGAGAUAAGCUGUAAACAAAAUUGCACGAGUCUAAAUAACAUUUAAGAAAAAAAAAUACAGUAUCAGCCCAGCUGUUUAUCACUACAAGUUACAGUUGUAAUUAUUCCUACCUUUUUUCAUCAUUACAAUUCUAGCUUUCAAGUUUUCAAGCUUCUUUGUGCCUUAUGUCUACAAACACAUUGCUAAACAGCUGCAACACUUAAUAGUUCAGAACAGAAGAUGGAGAGAUAAGACGGUGAAAGUAGUUAUGGUUACGAGCAUUAUUCAAAUCACAGUUCAAAGAAAACCUUUUCUUUUGGGGAAGACUUGUCCUGUGCAGCAGGGCAUGUAGGUACCACUUCUAGAUAAAAACUAAUCACCUUCAACAUUGGUUUAGCAAUUGGCUGACAAAUUAUCAACUGCUUCAUGUACCAUCAUCAUUUCUACUGUUUCCUAUCACAUAUGCACUAAGAACACCAUUACCUUUUCUGUUUUCAGUAAUUCUUUCCAUUUGUAGAAUUAGCCGAACACAGUAAGGGACAAAAAUGUAAUCACUGCAACCAUGUAUUAAACCUGCGUUUAUAAAGCAUUAAAAAAGAACAAUCACAACAAAAACUGGAGCCAAAACACUGAAGUUAGUUGGCAGUGAUUUUCUCUCUCUGUCUCUCUCUUUCUCUCAACCAUAAGCUGCUGCUGGAAGCACGCUCUUUACUUUUUCUUGCAAGUCACAUACAUCUUGUCUCUUGCUUGCAAUGACUGUAUAGUAUAGUGUCAAUCAGCUAAGAUGAGAUUCAUUUAGUUGCAUGUAAUGAUGUUUGGCCAAGUGAAAUUGUACAGUUAAUUAUGACCAGAUGUGUUUCAAUAUAGCCUUUCAACCUUUGAAUUGCCCAGUAUGCUCUCUCUCACAUUUUGACUUUAUCUCCUUAAUUGUCUCACUAACUAAUCACAGGCAACUACCUCUAAUGUAACCAUAAUGAGGGAGAUACACUGAACGCUAGACCGUGGCUUUGCGUAGCAAUUUCAGAAGCCUGAGAGACCAGAUUUCAAAAGGGCUGGCUUGCGGUCCCGAGUUCCUCUGGCAGCGGGAUGGAGACAGGCUACGAAGCUGGAUGAUCCUCGAUUUACUGUGCUUAUGAGGGAGCUGGUAACCACAAAUGAAAGCUGGGUGAAAACAAGGCAGAGGAAGAGCUUUGGUCACAGCGUGUGUGUUCGUUUUUCUUAAUUUUUGUUUGUUUCUUCUUACUUUAUUUUGUUUUUCUUUUUUGGUAGAGCACCUAGGACACAUGGAGUGGAAAGACCCUUUGAAGAACAGAGGAGCAGCUGGGCUACUGAGAGCUUUUGCCUGUCAAUGAAAUUAAGUUCUUGCCUUUUUCUUUAUACAGUUCCCAAAUACCUGUUUUCUAAACUGAUGUUUCCUCAAGUAAUAAAAAAUCCCACUGGAAAAUAAAAAGGUAAAACUUCUACUGUU